AGUAACUGCGAGUGAAGCGGGAAGAGCUCAAAUUUGUAAUCUGGCGGCCUUGUGUCGUCCGAGUUGUAAUCUGUAGAGGCGUUGUCCGUGUCGGUCCGUGCACAAGUCUCCUGGAACGGAGCGUCGUAGAGGGUGAGAAUCCCGUGUGUGGCACGGACGGCCGAUGYUUUUGUGAGGCGCCCUCGAAGAGUCGCGUUGUUUGGGAAUGCAGCGCAAAAUGGGUGGAAAAUUCCAUCUAAGGCUAAAUAUUGGCGAGAGACCGAUAGCGAACAAGUACCGUGAGGGAAAGAUGAAAAGCACUUUGGAAAGAGAGUUAAACAGUACGUGAAAUUGUUGAAAGGGAAACGUUUGAAGUCAGUCGCGUCUCCGGGACACUCAGCCUCGCUUCGGUGAGGUGCACUUGUCUCGGGAUGGGUCAACAUCAGUUUUGGCCGGCAGAUAAGGAUGGGGGGAAGGUGGCGUCGUUUCGGCGACGUGUUAGCCCCYUGUCGGACGUGUCGGCUGGGACUGAGGACUUUGCAGCACGCCCUUGUGGUCGGAGGGUUCUCCCUCACGUUAACGUGCUUAGGAUGUUGGCAUAAUGGCUUUAAGCGACCCGUCUUGAAACACGGACCACGGAGUCUAACAUGCUUGCGAGUGUUCGGGUGGAAAACCCUUGCGCGUAAUGAAAGUGAAAGUUGGGAGCCUUCUUUUGGUCGAGGGUGCACCGACGCCCGGCCCUGAAGUGUUCUGACGGUGCCGCGGUGGAGCAGGUAUGUUGGGACCCGAAAGAUGGUGAACUAUGCCUGAAUAGGGUGAAGCCAGAGGAAACUCUGGUGGAGGCUCGUAGCGAUUCUGACGUGCAAAUCGAUCGUCGAAAUUUGU
rnacentral:rRNA from 1 species